rnacentral:rRNA from 1 species
AACGUAGGACGCAAGCGUUAUCCGGAGUUACUGGGCGUAAAGCGUGCGCAGGCGGUCUGUUAAGACCGAUGUGAAAUCCCCGGGCUUAACCUGGGAACUGCAUUGGUGACUGGCAGGCUUUGAGUGUGGCAGAGGGAGGUAGAAUUCCACGUGUAGCAGUGAAAUGCGUAGAGAUGUGGAGGAAUACCGAUGGCGAAGGCAGCCUCCUGGGCCAACACUGACGCUCAUGCACGAAAGCGUGGGGAGCAAACAGG